rnacentral:rRNA from 1 species
GAUGAACGCUGGCGGCGUGCCUAAUACAUGCAAGUCGAGCGAACGGACGAGAAGCUUGCUUCUCUGAUGUUGGCGGCGGACGGGUGAGUAACACGUGGAUAACCUACCUAUAAGACUGGGAUAACUUCGGGAAACCGGAGCUAAUACCGGAUAAUAUUUUGAACCGCAUGGUUCAAAAGUGAAAGACGGUCUUGCUGUCACUUAUAGAUGGAUCCGCGCUGCAUUAGCUAGUUGGUAAGGUAACGGCUUACCAAGGCAACGAUGCAUAGCCGACCUGAGAGGGUGAUCGGCCACACUGGAACUGGGACACGGUCCAGACUCCUACGGGAGGCAGCAGUAGGGAAUCUUCCGCAAUGGGCGAAAGCCUGACGGAGCAACGCCGCGUGAGUGAUGAAGGUCUUCGGAUCGUAAAACUCUGUUAUUAGGGAAGAACAUAUGUGUAAGUAACUGUGCACAUCUUGACGGUACCUAAUCAGAAAGCCACGGCUAACUACGUG